rnacentral:rRNA from 1 species
AUUGAACGCUGGCGGAAUGCUUUACACAUGCAAGUCGAACGGCAGCACGGACUUCGGUCUGGUGGCGAGUGGCGAACGGGUGAGUAAUGUAUCGGAACGUGCCCAGUCGUGGGGGAUAACGUAGUGAAAAUUACGCUAAUACCGCAUACGAUCUAUGGAUGAAAGCGGGGGAUCGCAAGACCUCGCGCGAUUGGGGCGGCCGAUAUCAGAUUAGGUAGGUGGUGGGGUAAAGGCCCACCAAGCCAAAGAUCUGUAGCUGGUCUGAGAGGACGACCAGCCACGCUGGAACUGAGACACGGGCCAGACUCCUACGGGAGGCAGCAGUGGGGAAUUUUGGACAAUGGGCGAAAGCCUGAUCCAGCCAUUCCGCGUGCAGGAUGAAGGCCCUCGGGUUGUAAACUGCUUUUGUACAGAACGAAAAGGUUUCUACUAAUACUAGGAGCUCAUGACGGUACUGUAAGAAUAAGCACCGGCUAACUACGUGCCAGCCGCCGCAGUAA